CCUUGUAAACCAGAAUCGCUUUGGAGAGGCCUCGGGGGCAGGUGCCAUUUGCAGUUCUGGUGUUUUCCGUGGGUUGUGUGUGUGGCUUGGGUGCCCUGUCCCCUGGAGGAAGGAGUGUCUGGUAGCUGCUCCUCCAGCCUCUGGUGAGCCGCACCUCCCGCCAUCCCAGCCCCACCCAGCAGGUCGGCUUGGAGUGAGGCGAUUACUUUGUACCUAGACUCUGACAUAAAAGCUGUUAGCUCAGAUUUUUCAACUUAAAAAUGCAGGCCGGGUGCAGCGGCUCAUGCCUAUAAUCCCAGCACUUUGGGAGGCUGGGGCAGGAAGAUGGCUUGAGCCCAGGAGUUGGAGACCAGCCUGGGCAACACAGCGAGAAUCUGUCUCUAACAAGAUGUUUUUUACAUUAGCUAGGUGUGGUGCUGCACAUCUGCAGUCUCAGCUUCUCGGGAAGAUCGCCUGAGCCUGGGAGUUCGAGGCUACAGUGAGCUGUGACUGUGCCACUGCACUGCAGCCUGGGUGACAGAGUGAAACCCUGUCUCUAAAAGUUAAAAUUAAAACGCAAACUUAAAUGUGCCAAAAUGUUGUUUUUUAGACAUGCAAGAAAGCACUUCAGCCAAGCAGAAGGGAGCCAGCUGGACGAGGUGCGCCAGGCCAUGGGCAUGCUGGCCUUCCCGCCCGACACGCACAUCUCCCCGUACAAGGACCUUCUGGACCCUGCACGGUGGCGGAUGCUGAUCCAGCAGUUCCGGUACGACAACUACCGACUACACCAGCUGGGAAACAACUCUGUGUUCACCCUCACUCUGCAGGCCGGCCUCUCAGCCAUCAAGACACCACAGUGCUACAAGGAGGACGGCAGCUCCAAGAGCCCUGACUGCCCUGUGUGCAGCCGCUCCCUGAACAAGCUGGCGCAGCCCCUGCCCAUGGCCCACUGUGCCAACUCCCGCCUGGUCUGCAAGAUUUCUGGCGACGUGAUGAACGAGAACAAUCCGCCCAUGAUGCUGCCCAACGGCUACGUCUACGGCUACAAUUCUCUGCUUUCUAUCCGUCAAGAUGAUAAAGUCGUGUGCCCGAGAACCAAAGAAGUCUUCCACUUCUCACAAGCCGAGAAGGUGUACAUCAUGUAGGCCCCACGUCGUGAAGCGCACGCCUCGGGGACGGGCUGCAGCGGGCGGGGAGGCCACGCCUUCCUCCUGUCCCACGCUCCAGCCUGCCGCGGCGUUUCUGUCUCUUGCGACCAAAGAUCCGUGAGCAACGAUAAAUACUCUUAGGAAGAGAGAAAAUAAGGUUUCAUAAGUUUGUACUUGAAAACAUUUGGAUUGGUAGGAUUUUGUAACACGUCAACCAUUUGAUGCUUCUGAAAAGUACUUUCAACUUGCGAAGGAAACUUCUUUAAAGACUGACCUAAACACCGAGGGAAACUUUAGAACGUUUAAAAUAUAGGAGUGCGUGAUUUCCCUGUGUUUUCAGUUUCUUUCCUUCUGUGAACGAUGAGACUUGGAGAACGGGCUGGUCCUUCACCACUUCCUGUUGGCCCUGGCCCGGCCGGGGAAGGUGGCAGCGGCACUGGACUGACCUGCAGUGACCCGCGAUGCCGCGCCACGAGGGACACUUAUGGCUUCAUUCGAGAGCUGCUGCCAAAACGCCUGGCGCCGCCACCGUCAGGGGCUGGCUUCGAGGACGCCCGCCUGCCUCGCGGGCCGUGUCUGCGGGACUGUGUUCGUACGUGCAUAGUUUCGAUAUCACAUCGCGGGGCUGUGUUCGUAGCUGCGUCGUUUCGAUAUCACACCCUCUGUGUGCCGCCUUACUUCCUGCUUCGAGAAUGUAUAACGUGGAAAUCCACGGGACCAAGUUUCUGCAGAGGCCUUGCCGGAUGGUUCCAUAACUGUAGAGUCUAAUUGCUAUCCAUUACAGAAAUUAAUCGUUCAGUUGAAAGAAGUACUGAUGACUUUUCAAAACAAAUGAACCACCGUAGCUGACAGAGAACCGUAUCGUAGAGGUUUGUAGUUAGUGCUUAUUUUUGCAUGUUGAUGUUGACUAGCUAAUAAACUGUAAAUGUAAACCAUGCG
rnacentral:sRNA from 1 species